GACGAACGCUGGCGGCGUGCCUAAUACAUGCAAGUAGAACGCACAGUUUAUACCGUAGCUUGCUACACCAUAGACUGUGAGUUGCGAACGGGUGAGUAACGCGUAGGUAACCUGCCUGGUAGCGGGGGAUAACUAUUGGAAACGAUAGCUAAUACCGCAUAAUAUUGAUUAUUGCAUGAUAAUUGAUUGAAAGAUGCUAUUGCAUCACUACCAGAUGGACCUGCGUUGUAUUUGCUAGUAGGUGAGGUAACGGCUCACCUAGGCGACGAUACAUAGCCGACCUGAGAGGGUGAUCGGCCACACUGGGACUGAGACACGGCCCAGACUCCUACGGGAGGCAGCAGUAGGGAAUCUUCGGCAAUGGACGAAAGUCUGACCGAGCAACGCCGCGUGAGUGAAGAAGGGUUUCGGAUCGUAAAGCUCUGUUGUAAGAGAAGAACGGGUGUGAGAGUGGAAAGUUCACACUGUGACGGUAUCUUACCAGAAAGGGACGGCUAACUACGUG
rnacentral:rRNA from 1 species